rnacentral:lncRNA from 1 species
GUCACAGCAGCAAGCAAGUCUAGUGAACAGAUAAGAUGACAUGCUCAGCAAAAUAACAACGAAACCAGAGAGGCUAUGUGGCCCCUCCCACUUGUUCUAUGUCCUGCCUGGUUAUUUCUUGACGUUCUCUUUUCAACCGCAUCCAUCAUGCAUCUCUGUGCCAUUUCAGUGGAUCGUUACAUAGCCAUCAAAAAGCCAAUCCAGGCCAAUCAAUAUAAC